UGACGUUACACGUCGUAGAGACACGCAGGAGAAACUCAACGCUACACAGAGACAGACUCACGUAGUCGGAGCUGGAACAUAAAUACAAAGAUUUGUGCUGUAAUGUUGUGUAAAUUAGUUUUUGUCUUAUAAAAUUGGUGUC